rnacentral:rRNA from 1 species
GGGCCCGCACAAGCGGCGGAGCAUGUUGCUUAAUUCGACGCGACGCGAAGAACCUUACCAAGGUUUGACAUGCAGGGAAAAGCCGUAGAGAUACGGUGUCCGUAAGGGCCCUGCACAGGUGGUGCAUGGCUGUCGUCAGCUCGUGUCGUGAGAUGUUGGGUUAAGUCCCGCAACGAGCGCAACCCUCGUCCUAUGUUGCCAGCGGAUUAUGCCGGGGACUCAUAGGAGACUGCCGGGGUCAACUCGGAGGAAGGUGGGGAUGACGUCAAGUCAUCAUGCCCCUUAUGUCUUGGGCUGCAAACAUGCUACAAUGGCCGGUACAGAGGGCUGCGAGACCGCAAGGUGGAGCGAAUCUCAAAAAGCCGGUCUCAGUUCGGAUUGGGGUCUGCAACUCGACCCCAUGAAGUCGGAGUCGCUAGUAAUCGCAGAUCAGCAACGCUGCGGUGAAUACGUUCCCGGGCCUU